AUGAAAUGUAAUGUUACUCUGUAUUCAACUCACUUUAAACAAAAUGAAAUGUUACAAAAUAAUUUAAUUAACAGGCAUAACUCGCAGCUUAUUCAAAUGACAAAUGAAUGGCUAUAUAAAAGCUUGAAAAAGUAUUUCUGGGAAAAAAUGAGGAAUUACACAAAAGUCGUAACAAACAGGUUCAAAAUAGCGAGUGAGGGUAAGAGAACAUACUAA